rnacentral:rRNA from 1 species
AAUUCGAUGAUACGCGAGGAACCGUUACCUGGGCUCGAACGUAAGAUGACUGUAGGUGAAAGCUUACAUCUCUUCGGAGCAUUUUACGAGGUGCUGCAUGGUUGUCGUCAGCUCGUGCCGUGAGGUGUCGGGUUAAGUCCCAUAACGAGCGCAACCCUACCUUUAGUUGCCAUCAGGUAAUGCUGGGGACUCUAAAGGAACUGCCCACGCAAGUAGUGAGGAAGGCGGGGAUGACGUCAAAUCAGCACGGCCCUUACGUCCAGGGCUACACACGUGCUACAAUGGCCGAUACAGAGGGCAGCUACCUGGUGACAGGAUGCAAAUCUCCAAAGUCGGUCUCAGUUCGGAUCGGAGUCUGCAACCCGACUCCGUGAAGUUGGAUUCGCUAGUAAUCGCGCAUCAGCCAUGGCGCGGUGAAUACGUUCCCGGGCCUU